rnacentral:rRNA from 1 species
GAUGGCGACCGGCGCACGGGUGAGUAACACGUAUCCAACCUGCCGAUGACUCGGGGGAUAGCCUUUCGAAAGAAAGAUUAAUACCCGAUGGCAUAGUUCUUCCGCAUGGUAGAACUAUUAAAGAAUUUCGGUCAUCGAUGGGGAUGCGUUCCAUUAGGUUGUUGGCGGGGUAACGGCCCACCAAGCCUUCGAUGGAUAGGGGUUCUGAGAGGAAGGUCCCCCACAUUGGAACUGAGACACGGUCCAAACUCCUACGGGAGGCAGCAUG